rnacentral:rRNA from 1 species
UACGGAGGGUGCAAGCGUUAUCCGGAUUCACUGGGUUUAAAGGGUGUGUAGGCGGGUCUGUAAGUCAGUGGUGAAAUCUCCGAGCUCAACUUGGAAACUGCCAUUGAUACUAUAGAUCUUGAAUUUUGUUGAGGUAGGCGGAAUAUGUCAUGUAGCGGUGAAAUGCAUAGAUAUGACAUAGAACACCGAUUGCGAAGGCAGCUUACUAAGCAAAUAUUGACGCUGAGGCACGAAAGCGUGGGAUCAAACAGG